CCGGUGGAGUCGGUAGGUUCGUCUGGGCACCUGUGUAGGCGGGCGCCUUUGUUUGUUUAGGUUUAGAAAACUCGCAAGGAAAGCUCUCCAUUUUAUUAUUCGACUCGUUAACGAAGGACCCUUGUUGACCCUUGGGUUAGGCGUCCGCGCUUAGACUCGGAAAGCGGAUCCAGCCUUAUCGAUGCAGCGUUUCGUCGACAAAAAAAAAAUCACGCUUCCAAUCGUCUGACUGCUGGGCGGCAUUAAUAAAAUAUUGCGAUCUUCGUGGCUGACUGCUCAUGGUCGCAUUCUCGGGAGGAAGAUUGGGGCCUGUGCGUCUCCCUUCAACGCGAGACGGUCUUCAUCGCAGGCGGCUUUCGAGGAAAGGCCCGCGCGAUACGCGGCUGCUGCUGCCAAAGUAUGGUUCGAUGCGGACGGGUUAGGCGCUAAAGAGCGAUAACGGCUUACAGUGAUCUGAACACAAUCAGGGCGCCUGCCUCGUCUGCCGCCGCCACCUGCAGCAGUGUUCUGGCUUCAUGAUUCACUUUGAGCCGCUGUUCGCAACAGAAGCACCCGAUACAGACUUCGCUUAUGGGACCUCCUUCUGUAUACUAAAUACUUGUA